UAUCUCUCCUAUUAUCAACAUUUUUUGUGUUGGUAUAGGGAAUUGGGGUCUUAUCGUCAAGCUUUCUUCAAACCUUGGUGAACCCUUGAAAUACAGUAAGCUCCCAUCAUUUGGAAAUACGCAAACUUGGGGAUGGCGUCGUAGCUAAUCUUAACUGAUUUUAGUCGAAGCGCCUAUACGUACCUCUAACCGCGGUGUUAAUCCUUGCGAUCGGGUGAAGCUUAUCGACUGGGCAAAGCGCCCUGCUCCCUUUACACGGAGUAACCGAACAA
rnacentral:misc_RNA from 1 species